CUGGGAUUACAGGCAUGAGGCACCGCACCUGGCCUGAACUGGGUUUUGAUCACUAUCAUGGUCUGUCACUCUCCAACUGGGUGACCUGGAGCCAGUGACUGAGACCCCGCUCCAAGCAUCACCGGAGUCAGCAAACUCCAAACAAAUGGACUUAAUUAACUCAUUGACAUUGAUAUAAUACAAGAUUCUGAUGUGAGCUAAUACUAACAGGCACCUACUAUGAGACAGGGCCUGUGCUAGGUGCCUUAGUCAACACCGUAAAACAAAUGAGGCUGCAAGGGGUGCAGUGACAGGCCCAACAUCACACAGCUGGAAGCCAGCAUUGUUUUUGGGAAGCUUCUCUUCUCCAUUCAGCCCAUGGGGCUCAGUGGAGCCACCUAUCACCUCUGUCUCCAUUGUAUCAAGAGAUCCAGACCACUCCCCACUGCCAUGGUGAUUGGUUCAAGGAUGAGCAUCUGACCACAAUCUGGGCCAAUGACAGUGAUGCUAGAGACUUGUUUCAACUAUUGCAAAGAGGCUCACUUCCUGUUGGAAUGCUAAACCAGAGGGUGUAAGAUGGGAAGAUGUAAUCCUGGAGUGGCCAGGGCAAUCCCUGCCAUCUUGCAGGGAGAGCUUGCCUGAGAAUGAAUCCAACACGGAGGAACAUAGAGCCAAGAGAUACUCAUUUAGCACAUUGAUCUAGCCAUACCUGAAGUCUAUGAAGGCAUGUGUCAGUUACCCAAACUGAUAUAUUCUCUUUUCUGCUUAAUCCAGUUUGAAUUGGGUUUUGUGUCCAUUUUUAACAGAGUCUUAAUUAAAGCAGCUGGGGAGGAAGCCUGGGCAGGGGAAGGGAAAGGUGCCAGCUAGGAGUGAAUGGAUCAGAACAUGGGGUGCAGGUCCCUACCUUGCUGACUCCUGGUAUGAUGGGCUCAACACCAGCCCUCUUUAUGGUGAUCCUCAG
rnacentral:lncRNA from 1 species